CUGCACGUCACUGAUAGGUUACUUACCAUAAGAUCCCCUGCCGAUCUCGCCUCAGUCUGGAACUCUCUGGAUGUCCCCCCUGUGGAGAUCCCUUCCUGGCUUCCGG